GGAAGCCGUAUGAGGGAAAAUCUCAUGUACGGUUUGAAGAGGACUGUCUGAUAACUUUAAUUAGAGUUAUCAGCUUUUACUCGAC
rnacentral:ncRNA from 3 species